rnacentral:tRNA from 1 species
GGCCGAGUGGCGGAAUGGCAGACGCGGCGGAUUCAAAAUCCGCUGUCCGCAAGGGCAUGCCGGUUCGAGUCCGGCCUCGGCUACCA